rnacentral:tRNA from 1 species
UAGUGCAGUGGGUAAGCACUCGGCUGCUAACUGAAAGAUGGUGGUUCGAACCCACC